UACGUAGGUGGCGAGCGUUGUCCGGAUUUACUGGGCGUAAAGAGCGCGCAGGCGGUCGUACAAGUCGCGUGUGAAAGCCCCCGGCUCAACUGGGGAGGGUCACGCGAUACUGUUCGACUCGAAGGCAGGAGAGGGUAGUGGAAUUCCCGGUGUAGUGGUGAAAUGCGUAGAUAUCGGGAGGAACACCAGUGGCGAAGGCGACUUUCUGGCCUGUUCUUGACGCUGAGGCGCGAAAGCUAGGGGAGCAAACGGG
rnacentral:rRNA from 1 species